GUGUGGUGAAGUGGUUAACACAGCGGAUUGUGGUUCCGCCAUGCGUGGGUUCGAUCCCCAUCAGUCGCCU
rnacentral:tRNA from 1 species